CGUAUGUCCCGAGCGUUAUCCGGAUUUAUUGGGCGUAAAGCGAGCGCAGACGGUUUAUUAAGUCUGAUGUGAAAGCCCGGAGCUCAACUCCGGAAUGGCAUUGGAAACUGGUUAACUUGAGUGCAGUAGAGGUAAGUGGAACUCCAUGUGUAGCGGUGGAAUGCGUAGAUAUAUGGAAGAACACCAGUGGCGAAGGCGGCUUACUGGACUGCAACUGACGUUGAGGCUCGAAAGUGUGGGUAGCAAACAGGAUU
rnacentral:rRNA from 1 species